UUUCCGUAGGUGAACCCUGCGGAAGGAUCAUUA
rnacentral:rRNA from 2 species